rnacentral:rRNA from 1 species
AUGGAUAAAUUCCUUUAUCUUUUUAUUGGGAUAAUCUCUACAACAAAUAAUUUUAAACGUAGAAUAGUGGUUCGUAGAACUGCGGUAUCAUGCGUGGGUAGUGACCACCUUAUUGAAGAUCCUUCUUCCUGUUUUGAUUGCAUUUUCGUUCACUAUGUACUUGGUUACACCUUGUCACAAGACAAUACUCUUCAAAAUUUUGUCAAAACUCUUCUUGUGUUCUGUCUAUUCUAG